UGAGGAAUAUUGGUCAAUGGGCGGGAGCCUGAACCAGCCAAGUCGCGUGAGGGAAGAAGGUGCUAGGCAUUGUAAACCUCUUUUGCCGGGGAACAAAGGGCUCCACGCGUGGAGUUGUGAGUGUACCCGGAGAAAAAGCAUCGGCUAACUCCGUGCCAGCAGCCGCGGUAAUACGGAGGAUGCGAGCGUUAUCCGGAUUUAUUGGGUUUAAAGGGUGCGCAGGCGGCCCGUCAAGUCAGCGGUAAAAUGUCGGGGCUCAACCCCGGCCGGCCGGUUGCAGAUCUGGCGGGCUGCGGAGUUGGAGUGAGAAGAUACGCGGAAUUCGUGGUGUAGCGGUGAAAUGCAUAGAUAUCACGAAGAACUCCGAUUGCGAAGGCAGCGUACCGGCUCCAUACUGACGCUCAGGCACGAAAGCGUGGGGAUCGAACAGGAUUAGAUACC
rnacentral:rRNA from 1 species